GAGGGUAUAGCUCAGUGGUAGAGCAUGUGCUUAGCAUGCAUAAGGUACUGGGUUCAAUCCCUGGUACCUCCA
rnacentral:tRNA from 1 species